UCUNCUUCGGGAGGCAGCAGUAGGGAAUUUUCCGCAAUGGACGAAAGUCUGNCGGAGCANCGCCGCGUGAGUGAUGAAGGCUUUCGGGUCGUAAAACUCUGUUGUUAGGGAAGAACAAGUGCUAGUUGAAUAAGCUGGCACCUUGACGGUACCUAACCAGAAAGCCACGGCUAACUACGUGCCAGCAGCCGCGGUAAUACGUAGGUGGCAAGCGUUAUCCGGAAUUAUUGGNCGUAAAGCGCGCGCAGGNGGUUUCUUAAGUCUGAUGUGAAAAAGNCACGGCUCAACCGUGGAGGGUCAUUGGAAACUGGCAGAGCUUGAGGCAGAAGAGAAAU
rnacentral:rRNA from 1 species